AUGGAGGGUUCCAUCCGCGCCUCCUCCUUCCAGCCCCCCACCGUCACUCGCGCCAGCACCCGCUACGCCCCUUGGGCUCUCCUCAACGCGACGGCUUACUUCGCCGUCCGGAAGAACGCCACCACCGCCGAAGCCGUCACCAGCACAGGCCGCACCGUCAAGGUCACCUUCUGCCUCGCCGACCCGCCGGCCAUCUCCCACUGCUGCGUCCACGGCCCCGAGUUCCACCCCGACGACUUCACAACCGAGCCCCUAAUCGUCUUCUCUGCCAAGGACCUUGUGCUCCUCCGCUUCGCCUUCACAGUCGGCCCUAGGAGCACCCGCCGGGAUUCUCGUCUCGCCGAGUACUUCGUCUACAAGGCCGGCCGCGGCAACGGCAAGCCAUCUCUCACACCGGUCCCUUAUACUCCUCCGGACACCAUAAACUCAUUCUACAUGUGCGUCUUGCCAUUAGAUGGAGAUGAUGAGGGAUUUGUCCUCGCCGAUCUCUGCGUGACAAGGGUCCGAUCAGACUACGAGCUCCACGUCUUCUCUUCCAAGACGGCCAAGUGGACCAUUACGCCGUUGCGGUUGCGCACAUCUCCCACGGUCAGGAGCGAGGACCUGCCCGGCCCUCGUCUAAACAAGGUGAUCGCGCUGGGAGGAGGUGCCGUAGGCUGGGUCGACCUCUGGCGUGGCAUUGUCAGCUGUAAUGUGCUUGACAAGAACCCCGUUCUACGUUUGAUACCAGUGCCAUUGUUCGGAUUCAACGAGCGACGGGAAGGCGACGCGAGGCCGGUCAGGGACAUGACUUGCUGCAAUGGUUUGAUCAAGUAUGUCGGUCUUGAUGUCCGUUUCAAAGAGGUUGAUGUUCCUAAAAGGAGGAGUCGUCCAGGAUAUCUUGAUGACGUCGAUAUCAUCUAUGAUUUUGAGCUGCUCUUCCACGCCGACGGCGAUGAUUUAUUUACUGCCAACCCAGUGGAACGAUAUGAUGGUUGGAAGAUCCGGACAUGGUAUAGGAACACUUCUUGGAACUAUUGGCGCAAGGGCCAAACUGUCGAUAUUGAUGACAUCUCGGCUGACAGCCCUGGUCAUUCUUUGUUACGCCCACUACUCUGGGAUUCUGAAGCUGGGAGAUUCACAUUGAGGACAUUGUAUUCACUCUACCCGACAGUGGGCAUUGACGGUGGCGAUGAUGUUGUUUACAUGAUGACAAAACUAGAAUAUCAUGCUAAACACGCAUGCAUGAUUGGUAUUGACCUUGGAAAGAAGACGGUGAAUGCGCUUGUACCAGCUUCUUGUGAGAGAGCCUGUUAUUUCAGUGUGGACUUCCUCCCCUCUGAAUUCUCCAAAUAUUUUAAUGCAGCUCCAAGGUAA
rnacentral:rRNA from 1 species